GCUUUGAAGUCCCAUUUGGAAAGCCCAGUGAGGACUGCUUUCACAUGGGCCAGCCAGAGCCCCACCAUUCAGAGAGAAUUUGUAAGGGACUCCAGGUCCAAGAACUCAGACAAAGAUUUCUUGUUUCUAUAACCUGCCUCCUGGAAGCUUCUGAAGGGCUGUUAGUGGAACCUGAGGUGGGCAGCAGUAACAAGUGGUGAUUGAUAUCAGGUGAGGAAACUGAGUCAAUGAGUGAUAUUGGGUGAUUUGCUCAGGGAUAAACCAUAAGUUCACAGAACAGAUGUGAUUGAAAUGCAGGUUCUAAAUUGACCUCAAGCACACUUUCCACACUUUUUGCUGGAAGCUGUUAGUUGUGUUAUCCUCACUGAUUUACCCAGAAGACUCUGCAGAGAUUUUUUAGAUCUCCUUUCCCCCUUCUCCCCACAUCCUUCUCAAGCAGCCCUGCAAUGUAUUUUUACUGGAGGUGUCCAAUCAACACAGGUGAUGACAAAAAAAUAAACACCUAUGUGCCAUGGACUGUGGUAUUUUCUAGUAUUUUAUUACACACAAGAGUAAAACAAUUCAUGCUAAAAAGUGUUCCUUUUUGUGUUUCCUUCUAUGUUAUACUGUAGGCAGCUGUUCACUUUGCCUAGUUCUGAUCCCAAGUCUACUUCCAACUGAAAGGAAAAAGAAAAAGAAUUACCAAAGUCCAGUGGUAAAACAGAGUUCAGGAUGACUGGCAAUGUCCUGGAAUGAAGGGAUGACCUUGGCAUCUCUGUUUAACCAAGCUCUAGGCACUCCACAGUGCCCAUUUCAGCUGACUCCAUGGCCACUGGGACAAAUUAUUCUCAUUUGCCCAUUCCACUGGGAAAACAGUGUUCAGCUUCUUUCCAUCAAGUUCUGUCCAAGAAGUCCCCCUUUUCUCUAGGAGGAGAUGUUCAGGAUAUCCUCCUUCUAUUUGGAACCUCCUCUCUUAGAACCUCCACCAUCCAAGAACUCCUGAGAGCUUCUGCAAUCAAUUUUUUUUCAGCUGCCAUCUUUAUGGCUGAGGUGGAUCCACCACUAAAGGAAUUCCUUUGUAGCUAUGGAGGAGGCAUUUCAAAGUUGCAAACAAUGUCCUCAUCCUUUAAACUUGUUAGAUUGCCUUAGUUGACUCCUGAUCAUAGUCUUUACACCUAAAGAGAGACAAAGAGUGAUAGCUAAUACUUAUCUGUUGCUUUAAGUUUUCCACAGGAAUUUGGGGAUGUGGUCUGCACGGGACUUGGGAACCAAUUAGGUAUAGGGGCAAGGAGGGGGAGAAGAGAAGAAAGAGUUCAAAUGACUGAGGUUCCCAACUUGAGUACCUGAGAGAAUGGUGGGACCAUUAACUGAAUUAGGAAGUCAUGAAUAAGGGCAGAUUUGGAUUCCCUUCUCAAAUUAUUGUAUUAAUCUGUUG
rnacentral:lncRNA from 1 species